GUGAGGGGCUGUGCUAACACAAAACGGUGUGCCUGUAUUUUCUUACCCAAAGUGAAGUAAAAUGCAGAAGCCAGACUGCUGUUUGGCUCCAUCCCCCCACUGAGGUAGUUUUCUUCAGUGAUAAACCAUCUCACGUAGAGACGUUGUUCUGCUUUUGGCCAGUAAUCAUUAGAAACAGUGUGCCUUCAACAAACCCAAACAUUAGCAACAACAAUUCCUGAGAUCUGCUCACUUUUGUUUUUUUGAUAGAAAUACUUUCAGUAUUUGAAAUGGCAUUCUGGUGGUGGUGAUUUGUGGAAAAAGCCCUCAUUUAAAUACUCAGUAGCAUCCUGGAGUGAUUGUUGUAGCUUCCACUAAUGUGUAUACAAAUAAGGGGUCACUUGACUAAUUGAAUAAAUUGCUGUAGAAAUCUGUCACAGUAUUGGCAGCUAGGACUGACUGCGUUGUGCUUAUCUGUAAAUACAUUUGAAUGCUGCCCUUGCGUGAUGUUGAGUGAAAGGUGUCAUGCAAAAUGCAAAUGAUUAAAUACGGUUAAUUAUUUCUUUUAGCUUUUCUGUCCUUCCUGCUAAAAACAGUAAAUCCAACUGAAAUGAUGCAGAAGUAUAAGAAACUUUCUUUCUAAAAGGCAUCAGGUAUCUMUCAAGAUUCCACAAAWGAAGACUAGAUGUGGAUGACUGAAGAUGAAUGUCAUAUGAAUGCUUGAACACAUCUAUUUUUAGAUAUAACAUAUUUGAUAUUUUUUGUUAGACUGUUAGCCUAGGUAAACAUACUGUGUUUCCAGCACUAGCUAUUGUUUCAAAGGAAAGGGAUGCCCUAUGAAAAGUUUAUCAAGGCUAUAUUCGUAGGAUCCAGGGGAGAAUAUUUCCUCUUUAUUCCCGUUGAUGGCCUACUUACAAUCAAAUGCUAAUCUCUUAAGAGCCAUUUUCUGGCACCCCGACUCACACUGAGUAAGCCCUGAUUCCAUGAAUGAGUCCCCUGCAAUUGACUGUGGAUGCUAAACAUGUACACACGUGCAGUUCAGCAGCUGUCUCUUCCYGCAUCUGUUUCCACAGGACAAAAAAUGAUGUGGGGGAGCAGCACGGCAUCUGAAAUUGAGUCUCUGCAGACCAGCAGGGUGGGUGUUAAAUCCUACGAGGAGCUUUGUUUUCGUUUCCCUUCAGUUCCCUCAGAUCUGGAGAACUCUGAAUAAUGAAUGCGGCGUUUACAAGCUGGCUGAAUUAAACAGCGUUCAGCUUAAUUAGUGGGCUAGUUAUUCAGGGAGGAAAUCCACGUGUACAUUAGGUAUGCUGUUCAAAGCGUGGUUUGGGAGAACGUAUGCAAAGACUUGCCYGCAGACAGCAAGCCAAGCGCAGGCAUCCACAUGCCCCCCUUGGACAACCUAACAUGCCACAGUUAGACAAACACUGUGCUUAUUCUUACACAGAUCACAAAGGUGGUUUUUUUACAGCGCCUUUUGUUGGCAUUCAGUAGCUUCCUGCUUUGUCCCAAGUUAAGACUUAUUAUUUAUAUUACAAUAUCACUUAAGCAUCCUGAACUGGCCAAGCUGGAAGUUACCUGGUACACAAAGAUGAUCUCAAAGUUGAUUUAUAAGGUUAAGCUGAAUUUUUCCCUUUUUAGUGUGUAUUAAGAAAAUGAGGCUAAGGCAGUUUCCUAAUCUUGCAGCUGAGCAGUUGUGACCUUUUAGGCAUUUCAGAUUGUCAGGAGCAGGAAAUUUCCAUUUCCUGCAUGAGCUUGAAUGGGAAACAAAACCCCAAAUCCCUAUUGCCAAACUUAUAUCUAGAUUUUUCCCUGURUAUGGCAGGAGAUUAAAAGGAGACCUGGAUCUCAUUUCCUAGUAUUUGAGUAUGUGGCAAAGCCUUAAGCAAGUUAUAUCUUUUCCUGCACCUUACUUUCCCCAACAGUAAAUGGCGCAUGAUGUUGGAAUUUGUAGGAUUUUUAAAUAGCUACAGACAAGGGGAAGUCUUAAGUAGCUCAGAUGUAAACUUUCAGGGAGGURGAGGCUCUACUUCUCUCUGUGAAGCAUCAGUGCACUGGGAUCUUGAACUAAACACCAGAGUGUUUGAAAUAAUGGUACACGCUCACAACUUUUCAGCUCUCCUUUUUGCUCCAAGGAUUCGGCUCUUUUUCUAAACAUUGUAAGUGCUCUUUUUUUCUGCUGAAGCUCUUGUGCCUUUUGAUUUUCACUAAUGGCUUUGUGUUAGGUUUCAGGUUUUUAGCCAAUCUGCUGUCUUCAGCCUUGGAGGGCAGUCUUUGGUCCCUGGCACACGCUUAAAUUUUCUAGGAUACUGAAGAAUCUAAAGCUUACGAGAGCAACCCUAUUGGCACUGGUGGGAACGCUCAAAUGUCCAAGUAACACAUAAAUUUAAGAGCCUUGUUGAACUGAGUUUAAACCUGGAAGAAUGCUACGGAAAUAGGGCAAGUUGUCUAGAUUUAUACUAGGUGUUUGGAAGCAGAAUCGGGAUUUAAUCUUAAUUUAUUUAACUGGAAGCACCUCUAAGACCUUAAUAGCUAGGUGCCCUGUUGUAUAAGUGUAGUUAAUGAGGAUGAUUUGAGACUUCCUAUAUACUGUACUUUUGAUGGUUUACUGUAAGAUAUUGCAGUUGUAGCAGAAAUUGCAGAAAGCACCAUGUCCCCACGGUACAUUAUGUGCAGCACUUCCCAGUGGCAGUAAAUGUUCUGGCUUAAUCAAAAAGAUCACAUUUCUUUCUAUUACUACCUGCCUGGAGAAGCUAGAAUAACUUUUGGCCAAGGAAUACAUUAGUUUAAAUCUUAAAUUUCAAAACUAAAUUACACAAGGACUUGCAGAUGUAAUUCAUAUGUCCCUGAUUACUUCCAAUCUCUUUCUUUUUCUCCUGGUAACUUAAAUUUGUGUGAGAACUGUGGUGCUGCCGGUAGCAAUUGUGCUGGCUGGAGGCUCAGCAUGGGCAGGCCUGGUGUUGAUGUGUCCCCCGUGCGCUGUGACUUUGCUCCUCAGCCUCAGCACACCCCAGCUGCCUCGCUGGUCACCUCCUCCCGUUGGAGGUCAUUUAGCUAAACUGUUCCUAGCGAACCAUUUGCUCAACUGAAGUCACUCUUCUGCUUGCAAACGGUUCUCACACAGCCAUAGCUUUCGUUUUUAAAUCACUGUGUUCUACUAGCAAUGUUCAUACAGCGAUUUCUAUGAGCGUGUGUUGGCCUACGGGCGCUUCAUACCCUGAGCACUGCAGGUGCCUCUUUCGGCAGUUUUCUGUCUACCCGCCGUGGUCUGUGAGCUGCCCACUCUGGUGAAAUGGGGAUAAUGCUAGUUACCACCCACUGCACGGAGCUGUUAUGAAGAUUCAUGAAGUGAUAUUUGCAAAGUGUAAAACAUUAUCCCUGCUAGGUGCGGUGCUCUAUCAAUAACAAAUGGAAUAAACAUUAGGUAGGCAACA
rnacentral:lncRNA from 1 species